rnacentral:rRNA from 1 species
UAGGGAAUCUUCCGCAAUGGGCGAAAGCCUGACGGAGCAACGCCGCGUGAGUGAUGAAGGUCUUCGGAUCGUAAAACUCUGUUAUUAGGGAAGAACAAAUGUGUAAGUAACUAUGCACGUCUUGACGGUACCUAAUCAGAAAGCCACGGCUAACUACGUGCCAGCAGCCGCGGUAAUACGUAGGUGGCAAGCGUUAUCCGGCAUUAUUGGGCGUAAAGCGCGCGUAGGCGGUUUUUUAAGUCUGAUGUGAAAGCCCACGGCUCAACCGUGGAGGGUCAUUGGAAACUGGAAAACGUGUGUGCAGAAGAGGAAAGUGGAAUUCCGUGUGUAGCAGUGAAAUGCGCAGAUAUGUUGAGGAACACCAGUGGCAAAGGCGACUUUCUGGUCUGUCACUGACGCUGAUGUGCGAAAGCGUGGGGAUCAAACAGG